rnacentral:rRNA from 1 species
AGGAAUAUUGGUCAAUGGGCGAGAGCCUGAACCAGCCAAGUAGCGUGAAGGAUGACUGCCCUAUGGGUUGUAAACUUCUUUUAUAAAGGAAUAAAGUCGGGUAUGCAUACCCGUUUGCAUGUACUUUAUGAAUAAGGAUCGGCUAACUCCGUGCCAGCAGCCGCGGUAAUACGGAGGAUCCGAGCGUUAUCCGGAUUUAUUGGGUUUAAAGGGAGCGUAGAUGGAUGUUUAAGUCAGUUGUGAAAGUUUGCGGCUCAACCGUAAAAUUGCAGUUGAUACUGGAUAUCUUGAGUGCAGUUGAGGCAGGCGGAAUUCGUGGUGUAGCGGUGAAAUGCUUAGAUAUCACGAAGAACUCCGAUUGCGAAGGCAGCCUGCUAAGCUGCAACUGACAUUGAGGCUCGAAAGUGUGGGUAUCAAACAGGAUUAGAUACCCUGGUAGUCCACACGGUAAACGAUGAAUACUCGCUGUUUGCGAUAUACGGCAAGCGGCCAAGCGAAAGCGUUAAGUAUUCCACCUGGGGAGUACGCCGGCAACGGUGAAACUCAAAGGAAUUGACGGGGGCCCGCACAAGCGGAGGAACAUGUGGUUUAAUUCGAUGAUACGCGAGGAACCUUACCCGGGCUUAAAUUGCAGAUGAAUUACGGUGAAAGCCGUAAGCCGCAAGGCAUCUGUGAAGGUGCUGCAUGGUUGUCGUCAGCUCGUGCCGUGAGGUGUCGGCUUAAGUGCCAUAACGAGCGCAACCCUUGUUGUCAGUUACUAACAGGUCAUGCUGAGGACUCUGACAAGACUGCCAUCGUAAGAUGUGAGGAAGGUGGGGAUGACGUCAAAUCAGCACGGCCCUUACGUCCGGGGCUACACACGUGUUACAAUGGGGGGUACAGAGGGCCGCUACCACGCGAGUGGAUGCCAAUCCCCAAAACCUCUCUCAGUUCGGACUGGAGUCUGCAACCCGACUCCACGAAGCUGGAUUCGCUAGUAAUCGCGCAUCAGCCACGGCGCGGUGAAUACGUUCCCG